rnacentral:rRNA from 1 species
UGGCGGCGUGCCUAAUACAUGCAAGUCGAGCGAACAGACGAGGAGCUUGCUCCUCUGACGUUAGCGGCGGACGGGUGAGUAACACGUGGAUAGCCUACCUAUAAGACUGGGAUAACUUCGGGAAACCGGAGCUAAUACCGGAUAAUAUAUUGAACCGCAUGGUUCAAUAGUGAAAGACGGUUUUGCUGUCACUUAUAGAUGGAUCCGCGCCGCAUUAGCUAGUUGGUAAGGUAACGGCUUACCAAGGCAACGAUGCGUAGCCGACCUGAGAGGGUGAUCGGCCACACUGGAACUGAGACACGGUCCAGACUCCUACGGGAGGCAGCAGUAGGGAAUCUUCCGCAAUGGGCGAAAGCCUGACGGAGCAACGCCGCGUGAGUGAUGAAGGUCUUCGGAUCGUAAAACUCUGUUAUUAGGGAAGAACAAAUGUGUAGGUAACUAUGCACGUCUUGACGGUACCUAAUCAGAAAGCCACGGCUAACUACGUGCCAGCAGCCGCGGUAAUACGUAGGUGGCAAGCGUUAUCCGGAAUUAUUGGGCGUAAAGCGCGCGUAGGCGGUUUUUUAAGUCUGAUGUGAAAGCCCACGGCUCAACCGUGGAGGGUCAUUGGAAACUGGAAAACUUGAGUGCAGAAGAGGAAAGUGGAAUUCCAUGUGUAGCGGUGAAAUGCGCAGAGAUAUGGAGGAACACCAGUGGCGAAGGCGACUUUCUGGUCUGUAACUGACGCUGAUGUGCG